rnacentral:sRNA from 1 species
GGUUGGCAUUUCACAAAAUCUGGAAAAUAUACAGUUAAAUCUGGAUAUCAUACGGCGCGGUUAAAGACUUUGGAUGAUAACUCUUCUUUUAUUGGCCUAGACAUCAAAGUUUUAAAAGCAUACUCAUGAAAAGUACAGUGUCCGCCCAAGUUAUGUCACUUUU